rnacentral:lncRNA from 1 species
CCCGUUAAGGGAGAUUGUGGGAAUCCAUCGGGGCAAGGUGGUUGUGGGUAUGCACUGGGGUAAGGUGGUUGUGGGUAUGCGCCGGGGUAAGGUGCUUGUGGGUAUGCACCAGGGUAAGGAGGUUGUGGGUAUGCACCACCAACAUUUGGUUGCGGAUAGUAUCCACCCAUAGAAGGUGGCGACUGCUCGUCAAGAUCUUCUUUCUCCGCUAUCUUCUUUUGUUUUCUUGACCAAUAACGCUUUUUAUUUGGCGUCAUUUUACUUGUAUCAAUCUCUAUAAUACGCUCUUCCCUCUCUUUAUUUCGCUCUUCCCUCUCUUUAAUUCGAUCUUGCCUUUCUUGAAAUAGGAGUUGCUCUUUUCGUAUUUCGA